UACGUAGGCAGCGAGCGUUGUUCGGAAUUACUGGGCGUAAAGAGUGUGUAGGCGGUGCUCUAAGUUCGGUGUGAAAUCUCCCGGCUUAACUGGGAGGGUGCGCCGGAAACUGGAGUGCUCGAGCGUGGGAGAGGAAAGCGGAAUUCCUGGUGUAGCGGUGAAAUGCGCAGAUAUCAGGAAGAACACCCGUGGCGAAAGCGGCUCUCUGGAACGGUACUGACGCUGAGACGCGAAAGCGUGGGGAGCGAACAGG
rnacentral:rRNA from 1 species